rnacentral:tRNA from 1 species
GGUGGGAUAGCUCAGUUGGUUAGAGCAUCGGAUUCAUAACCCGAAGGUCGGCAGUUCAAAUCUGCUUCCCACUACCA